ACAGGGGCGACACAAGGGUUCCCCACAAACCCUAGUUCAUGCGAUUUUCCCCCAAAUUGAAGACCCUAAUCAGUCCCAAAUCGAUUUUCAAGCACGAAAUAGUGAUCUCCACUGAAAAGGGGUCAUAAGGAAAGGAAGCCGGAGCGUCUUGCGGACAAGCCGGUGUUGACGCACGAUUGAAGGGUGUGCUGUGAAGGUGAAGUGGAACUUAAUCCGGAUGGCGAUCAAGCACGUUUUGAAGAACCGAACACAAUAUUUUGGAGCUUCCGCAUAUAAUUAACCUUGUUGUAGACAAUGUUUAUGAUGUAAGCAAUUAUCUAAUCACUUUUGGGAUGUUUAAACUAGUUUGUA